UCAAUGUAGGCUGGCUGAAGGAUAACGUAUGGAACUUGUCUCAACUUAUAAUUAUUACAAGUUAAUAAAAAAGUGAAAAUACUUUUAAUAUUAGAUAAAAGACGAGAAGACCCUUAGAAUUUUCUCCCUAAAUAAGCUUCAUAGCUAAUUUCGAUUUAGUUGGGGCAACUUUAUUUCAUUUAAUAAAUAGUAACACUAAUUAUAUAUGCCGAUUUAAUAAGAAAAGAUAAAUUACCUAAGGGAUAACAGCAUAAUUUUAUAAGUAAGUUUGUGACCUCGAUGUUGGACAC
rnacentral:rRNA from 1 species